ACUGGUUAUCUGAAAUAAUAUCCUACAACCCCAUGGGAGACAGAAAUAGGUAGUAUAACUUUACCAAACUAUGAAAUAGGAAGAAGACAUACCCUCAAGGUUCUAGGCCUUC